UGAAAGAGGGGCUGGGGCUCUGAGCACCGUCAAACCUUCAGUGUACUUACUAGUUUAAGCCUAUUGGGCGCACAAUGUUUAAUUAUAUCUUGUUGGAAAAUAUCAUCUGGUUUGGAAGUGGUUUGCCAUUGCCUUCUUCUGGGCAGCGCCUUUACAAGAUGGGUGACCCCAGCCAUCAUCAAUACACUUCAGAGAUUGUCUGCCUGGCAUCAGUGGUUGCAUAACCAGGAUUGGUGAUCUACACCAGCUGCUCAUAUGACCAUCCACCACUGUCUCCCAUGGCUUCAAAUGAUCCUGAUCGGGUGCUAAACAAGUGCUACACCUUACCCAAGGGUAACCUGCAGGCUGGCAGAGGGAAGGAGUGCCUUACACCUCCUAUGAUAGAGAUGUAUCUCCACCCCACAACUCCACAGAGCUAAAUCUUUUUUACGCUUGGUUCGAUAUCACCAACACUGAACCCCCGAGGAGAGCCGCUGAAGCAACCUGCACCUUAGUCGUUUCUGAGGUUGAAGUACACAGGUGUUUCCAACGGUGGACGGUCGCAAGGCUGCAGGACUGGACGGCAUCCCAGGGCAGGUACUCAACUGGCAGUCUCUGGAUACCAUGCAUCUCUGAUGACUGUUGGAGCCUUCUUCAGAAAUGAAAUGUUCUUCCUUCAAAAUUCUACAAUCCCUGGACUAUCCAGAAAAACAAUUUGUACAAGCUCUCGCUGCUGUCUCUCCAACAGGAUGGGUAAGAAAAUAUUCUUUGAGAUAAAAAUGGAGUACACAGUCUCUACUCAGAACCUGCUUCUGUUGUUGUAGUCUAUACAGUUUGCAAACCUCAUCAGAAAAUUGCAGGAGUCACAUAAGUGACGUGUUGCAUGAAAACUGAUAACACUUUACAUUUCCACUGACUUCCAUAGAAUCACAGAAAAGUACAGAGCAGAAACAGUCCCUUCAGCCCAUCUAGUCUGUGGCAACCUGCCUACUCUCACUGACCUGCACUGGGUCCAUAGCCCUCCAGUUCUCUAGUAUCCAUGUACUUAAACAAACUUUGCUAAAAACAUUAAAAUCGAGUUUGUAUCCACCACUUGUGCUGGCAGCUCGUUCCACGUUCUCACCACCCUCUGAGUGAAGAAGCUCCCCCUCGUGUCCUCCUUAAACUUAUAAAGCUUGUUAUUUGCAUAACAGCUUACAGAAGUGCACAAUCCUCACUUAGCAAUUCAGUUUUCCAGUGUGUAGUGAAUGAUAACUUCAUGCUAUAUACAAGAAUAUCGAGGACAUUAUUUGGUAUUUAGAUUAAAAACUCUUAUAUUGGCUCCUUAAGGUUGUCACAGCCAGAGGAGUCAAUGGGGUAAGCUGUCACUACCUAUUAAAUGCUUUGGAUUCAUCAGCUGUGUGGAGAGGCCUACAGCUUGCUCUCCAUAUCGUACUGCUCUAGCUUGUGUAUCACGUAAACAGCUGGGGUACAACAUCCAUGCUCCACCCUGAGCAACAUAGGGCCUCAGAUAAAAGUGGAACUCAGGCUUCAUACCACAAAACUAAAAGACUGAGCGAGAUAAAGGACAUUAUGGUCCCCAGAAACAGCUACCAUGCAGGAUCUACUUAUAUCUGAAUGAUUAAUGUGCUGACACCUGUUACACAUUUCCAUCUCUUAUUACUUCUGUCAUUAUUUGUUGUGUCUAAAAUAAUCAUUUAUUUGCUGUAUUUUAGAGGAUGAACAAAGAUACCUUAACACAUUAAGCCACAAAUUGAUGAAUUUUAAC